rnacentral:rRNA from 1 species
AACGAACGCUGGCGGCAGGCCUAACACAUGCAAGUCGAGCGCCCCGCAAGGGGAGCGGCGGACGGGUGAGUAACGCGUGGGAACGUACCCUUUGCUACGGAAUAGCCUCGGGAAACUGGGAGUAAUACCGUAUGUGCCCUUCGGGGGAAAGAUUUAUCGGCAAAGGAUCGGCCCGCGUUGGAUUAGGUAGUUGGUGGGGUAAUGGCCUGCCAAGCCGACGAUCCAUAGCUGGUUUGAGAGGAUGAUCAGCCACACUGGGACUGAGACACGGCCCAGACUCCUACGGGAGGCAGCAGUGGGGAAUCUUAGACAAUGGGCGCAAGCCUGAUCUAGCCAUGCCGCGUGAGCGAUGAAGGCCUUAGGGUUGUAAAGCUCUUUCAGUGGGGAAGAUAAUGACUGUACCCACAGAAGAAGCCCCGGCUAACUCCGUGCCAGCAGCCGCGGUA